GACGAACGCUGGCGGCGUGCUUAACACAUGCAAGUCGAACGGAAAGGCCCCUUCGGGGGUACUCGAGUGGCGAACAGGUGAGUAACACGUGAGUAACCUGCCCUUGACUUCGGGAUAACUUCAGGAAACUGGGGCUAAUACCGGAUAGGAAUCCUUGCUGCAUGGUGGGGGUUGGAAAGCUUCGGCGGUUUUGGAUGGACUCGCGGCUUAUCAGCUUGUUGGUGGGGUAGUGGCUUACCAAGGCUUUGACGGGUAGCCGGCCUGAGAGGGCGACCGGCCACAUUGGGACUGAGAUACGGCCCAGACUCCUACGGGAGGCAGCAGUGGGGAAUAUUGCACAAUGGGCGGAAGCCUGAUGCAGCAACGCCGCGUGCGGGAUGACGGCCUUCGGGUUGUAAACCGCUUUCAGCAGGGGUGAAGCUUGUGGUGACGGUACCUGCAGAAGAAGCACCGGCUAACUACGUG
rnacentral:rRNA from 1 species